UACGUAGGUGGCAAGCGUUGUCCGGAUUUAUUGGGCGUAAAGCGAGCGCAGGCGGUUCCUUAAGUCUGAUGUGAAAGCCCACGGCUCAACCGUGGAAGGUCAUUGGAAACUGGGGAACUUGAGUGCAGAAGAGGAGAGUGGAAUUCCAUGUGUAGCGGUGAAAUGCGUAGAUAUAUGGAGGAACACCAGUGGCGAAGGCGACUCUCUGGUCUGUAACUGACGCUGAGGCUCGAAAGCGUGGGGAGCAAACAGG
rnacentral:rRNA from 2 species